rnacentral:rRNA from 1 species
UACGUAGGGUGCGAGCGUUAAUCGGAAUUACUGGGCGUAAAGCGUGCGCAGGCGGCGCGUUAAGACAGGUGUGAAAAGCCCCCGAGCUUAACUUGGGGAAUUUGCGCUUGUGACUGGCGUGCUGGAGUGUGGCAGAGGGAGGUGGAAUUCCACGUGUAGCAGUGAAAUGCGUAGAGAUGUGGAGGAACACCGAUGGCGAAGGCAGCCUCCUGGGCCAGCACUGACGCUCAUGCACGAAAGCGUGGGGAGCAAACAGG